UUCAGAGGGGGACAACAGUUGGAAACGACUGCUAAUACCGCAUGAUGUGUAACUGGGACAUCCCGGAUACACCAAAGAUUUAUCGCUGAAAGACGGCCUCGCGUCUGAUUAGCUAGUUGGUGAGGUAACGGCCCACCAAGGCGACGAUCAGUAGCCGGACUGAGAGGUUGACCGGCCACAUUGGGACUGAGAUACGGCCCAGACUCCUACGGGAGGCAGCAGUGGGGAAUAUUGGGCAAUGGGCGCAAGCCUGACCCAGCAACGCCGCGUGAAGGAAGAAGGCUUUCGGGUUGUAAACUUCUUUUAAGUGGGAAGAGCAGAAGACGGUACCACUUGAAUAAGCCACGGCUAACUACGUGCCAGCAGCCGCGGUAAUACGUAGGUGGCAAGCGUUGUCCGGAUUUACUGGG
rnacentral:rRNA from 1 species